AGCGAACGCUGGCGGCAGGCCUAACACAUGCAAGUCGAGCGCCCAGCAAUGGGAGCGGCAGACGGGUGAGUAACGCGUGGGGAUCUGCCCGAUGGUACGGAAUAAUUCCGGGAAACUGGGACUAAUACCGUAUGUGCCCGUAAGGGGAAAGAUUUAUCGCCAUCGGAUGAACCCGCGUCGGAUUAGCUAGUUGGUGUGGUAAAGGCGCACCAAGGCGACGACCCGUAGCUGGUCUGAGAGGAUGAUCAGCCACACUGGGACUGAGACACGGCCCAGACUCCUACGGGAGGCAGCAGUGGGGAAUAUUGGACAAUGGGCGCAAGCCUGAUCCAGCCAUGCCGCGUGAGUGAUGAAGGCCUUAGGGUUGUAAAGCUCCUUCGCCGGUGAAGAUAAUGACGGUAACCGGAGAAGAAGCCCCGGCUAACUUCGUGCCAGCCGCCGCCGUAAUAC
rnacentral:rRNA from 1 species